ACACGACUACAUUAGAUACCCGUGUAGUCCUAGCCGUAAACGAUACUCGCUAGGUGUCGGCCACGGUGCGACCGUUGUCGGUGCCGUAGGGAAGCCGUGAAGCGAGCCACCUGGGAAGUACGGCCGCAAGGCUGAAACUUAAAGGAAUUGGCGGGGGAGCACAACAACAGGUGGAGCUUGCGGUUUAAUUGGAUUCGACGCCGGAAAUCUUACCGGGACCGACAGCAACAUGAAGGCCAAGCUGAAGACCUUGCCGGAUUAGCUG
rnacentral:rRNA from 1 species